ensembl:lncRNA
CGGAGUAGAUUUAGAAUCCAGAAGCAGCUUUUUCCUGCUCUUGAACACCUGCUGGAUAUGAACUGAUCCCAGGACAGGAGAUUCCACCUCUUCAGCUGUUGGGAUGUCUGCACCUUCUGUUGGACCCUGGUGGAGGAUGUCGUGGACGUAUCUUCUCCAGAGUGUGGGUCUGCAGAGCGGGGAUGGCUUUGGUUUCCAGGUCCUCCAUGAAAAAGUUACUCAUUAUGGCUGAAAGUGGAUCUUUUUUUCAACUUUAUUUUACCAGGUAAGAUCAGAUGAGAACAGUUUCUCCUUUACAAUGAUGACCUGGCCAGAUGUGUCAUUGCUAAACCUGGUUUCUGACUGUAGAUUAUUCCUUUCAACUGAAAACAGGUGGAUUUGGCAAUAAACCGGAGUAAUGUGAUGAUGUCGUCUACUGGGAGCAUUAAAACUUUGUCUGCAGAGAGAAAAGAACGACUCCGUUUUUUGCCAGACUGGAGGAUGUUGGAGGGAGUCUGUUAAUCUCUCUGGACCUGACAUUUGAAAACCUCCACCUCUCCUCACCCUCCCAGCCCACUGAUGUGAGGAAAUCCAGCUCUGAACAGACUGAACUCCUAAAUCCCUCCUGGAAGCUUCACCCUGAACAGACAACUGCAACGCUGUGGUAACGGGCAGAUUACAGGCACCAAAAAAUAUUGUUACCUUGUCUGAAAAAAAAUCAGCAAAAAAACCCAAAUUUCUGAAAAUUUGCAAAACCUUCAGGAA